GAUGAACGCUGGCGGCGUGCCUAAUACAUGCAAGUCGAGCGAACAGACGAGGAGCUUGCUCCUCUGACGUUAGCGGCGGACGGGUGAGUAACACGUGGAUAACCUACCUAUAAGACUGGGAUAACUUCGGGAAACCGGAGCUAAUACCGGAUAAUAUAUUUAACCGCAUGGUUCAAUAGUGAAAGACGGUUUUGCUGUCACUUAUAGAUGGAUCCGCGCCGCAUUAGCUAGUUGGUAAGGUAACGGCUUACCAAGGCGACGAUGCGUAGCCGACCUGAGAGGGUGAUCGGCCAAACUGGAACUGAGACACGGUCCAGACUCCUACGGGAGGCAGCAGUAGGGAAUCUUCCGCAAUGGGCGAAAGCCUGACGGAGCAACGCCGCGUGAGUGAUGAAGGUCUUCGGAUCGUAAAACUCUGUUAUUAGGGAAGAACAAAUGUGUAAGUAACUAUACACGUCUUGACGGUACCUAAUCAGAAAGCCACGGCUAACUACGUG
rnacentral:rRNA from 1 species